rnacentral:rRNA from 1 species
GACGAACGCUGGCGGCGUGCUUAACACAUGCAAGUCGAACGAAGUGUCGAAAGGGGGAGUAAUACGUGGGUAACCUGCCCUCCUUUUUUUGAUAAGCGUUGGAAAAGGGGGCUAAUACCGCAGAAAGGGGGAUGGGCUCGCGGGCUAUCAGCUUGUUGGUGGGGUGAUGGCCUACCAAGGCGGUGACGGGUAGCCGGCCUGAGAGGGUGACCGGUCACAUUGGGACUGAGAUACGGCCCAGACUCCUACGGGAGGCAGCAGUGGGGGAUAUUGCACAAUGGGCGAAAGUCUGAUGCAGCGACGCCGCGUGGGGGAUGAAGGCUUUCGGGUUGUAAACCUCUUUCGCCAGCGAAAGGGUAGGUGGAGAAGAAGCGCCGGCUAACUACGUGCCAGCAGCCGCGGUAAUUC